UGAACGCUGGCGGCAGGCCUAACACAUGCAAGUCGAGCGGAAACGGCAGUAUUGAAGCUUCGGUGGAUUUACUGGACGUCGAGCGGCGGACGGGUGAGUAACGGCUGGGAACCUGCCCUGACGAGGGGGAUAACCGUUGGAAACGACGGCUAAUACCGCAUAAUGUCUUGAUUCGUUAGAGUCAGGACCAAAGGUGGCCUCUACAUGUAAGCUAUCGCGUUGGGAUGGGCCCAGUUAGGAUUAGCUAGUUGGUAAGGUAAUGGCUUACCAAGGCAACGAUCCUUAGCUGGUUUGAGAGGAUGAUCAGCCACACUGGGACUGAGACACGGCCCAGACUCCUACGGGAGGCAGCAGUGGGGAAUAUUGCACAAUGGGGGAGACCCUGAUGCAGCCAUGCCGCGUGUGUGAAGAAGGCCUUCGGGUUGUAAAGCACUUUCAGCAGUGAGGAAGGUCGUGUACUUAAUACGUGCACGGCUUGACGUUAGCUGCAGAAGAAGCACCGGCUAACUCCGUGCCAGCAGCCGCGGUAAUACGGAGGGUGCGAGCGUUAAUCGGAAUUACUGGGCGUAAAGCGCAUGCAGGCGGUUUGUUAAGUCAGAUGUGAAAGCCCGGGGCUCAACCUCGGAACCGCAUUUGAAACUGGCAGGCUAGAGUCUUGUAGAGGGGGGUAGAAUUUCAGGUGUAGCGGUGAAAUGCGUAGAGAUCUGAAGGAAUACCAGUGGCGAAGGCGGCCCCCUGGACAAAGACUGACGCUCAGAUGCGAAAGCGUGGGUAGCAAACAGGAUUAGAUACCCUGGUAGUCCACGCCGUAAACGCUGUCUACUUGGAGGUUGAGGUUUUAGACUUUGGCUUUCGGCGCUAACGCAUUAAGUAGACCGCCUGGGGAGUACGGCCGCAAGGUUAAAACUCAAAUGAAUUGACGGGGGCCCGCACAAGCGGUGGAGCAUGUGGUUUAAUUCGAUGCAACGCGAAGAACCUUACCUACUCUUGACAUCCAGCGAAGCCUUUAGAGAUAGAGGCGUGCCUUCGGGAGCGCUGAGACAGGUGCUGCAUGGCUGUCGUCAGCUCGUGUUGUGAAAUGUUGGGUUAAGUCCCGCAACGAGCGCAACCCUUAUCCUUGUUUGCCAGCACAUAAUGGUGGGAACUCCAGGGAGACUGCCGGUGAUAAACCGGAGGAAGGUGGGGACGACGUCAAGUCAUCAUGGCCCUUACGAGUAGGGCUACACACGUGCUACAAUGGCAGAUACAGAGGGCAGCGAGACAGCGAUGUUUAGCGAAUCCCUUAAAGUUUGUCGUAGUCCGGAUUGGAGUCUGCAAUUCGACUCCAUGAAGUCGGAAUCGCUAGUAAUCGUGGAUCAGAAUGCCACGGUGAAUACGUUCCCGGGCCUUGUACACACCGCCCGUCACACCAUGGGAGUGGGCUGCACCAGAAGUAGAUAGCUUAACCUUCGGGAGGGCGUUUACCACGGUGUGGUUCAUGACUGGGGUGA
rnacentral:rRNA from 1 species